rnacentral:rRNA from 1 species
CCUACGGGAGGCAGCAGUGGGGAAUAUUGGGCAAUGGGCGCAAGCCUGACCCAGCAACGCCGCGUGAAGGAAGAAGGCUUUCGGGUUGUAAACUUCUUUUGUCAGGGACGAAGCAAGUGACGGUACCUGACGAAUAAGCCACGGCUAACUACGUGCCAGCAGCCGCGGUAAUACGUAGGUGGCAAGCGUUAUCCGGAUUUACUGGGUGUAAAGGGCGUGUAGGCGGGGAAGCAAGUCAGAUGUGAAAACCACGGGCUCAACCUGUGGCCUGCAUUUGAAACUGUUUUUCUUGAGUACUGGAGAGGCAGACGGAAUUCCUGGUGUAGCGGUGAAAUGCGUAGAUAUCAGGAGGAACACCGGUGGCGAAGGCGGCCUGCUGGACUGCAACUGACGUUGAGGCCCGAAAGCGUGGGGAGCAAACAGGAUUAGAUACCCUAGUAGUC